GACGUAGGGAGCGAGCGUUGUCCGGAAUUACUGGGCGUAAAGAGCUCGUAGGCGGGACCGUAAGUCCGAGAGGAAAUCUCAAGGCUCAACUUUGGGGCUUUCUUGGAUACUGCGGUUCUUGAGGAUGAGAGAGGUAAGUAGAAUUCCCGGUGUAGCGGUGAAAUGCGUAGAUAUCGGGAGGAAUACCAGUGGCGAAGGCGGCUUACUGGCUCAUUCCUGACGCUGAGGAGCGAAAGCAUGGGGAGCGAACAGG
rnacentral:rRNA from 1 species